AUUGGGAGGCGCCGAAGGUGGAGAGGUCGGCUCGGAAGGAAAAGAUCACUCACUCUUGGGGGCAUCCAGCAGCCAUGUUGUGAGGACACUCAAGCAGCUGUGAAGAGGUGCACCUGGAGAGGAACUGAGGCCUCCCACCAAAACCAAGCACUGACAUGCCACUCAUGGAGCAACUUCCAGUCCUGCAAGCUCCAUUCAUGCAAUCACAGGAAUAUAUAAAACAUGAGCAGAAAGAGGCCUUUGGAGAAAUCUGGACCAGCAUUCUCAUUUUACGGAUGAGGGACCACGGCCCAUGGAGGUUUCCAUAGAUGAUUGGAAAAACCCAAGAGUUGGUCCUCUGUUCCAGACCCCACACAGACACAAACCUACAAGCCAAGGGAGCCAGUAUUUGGCCAUUCGUCCAUCCAUCUGCAUGUCCCAGGGAUGCACGAACAGGGAACACUUCAGCCUUUCGGCUGCCUUCAAAGAAGCAAUGAGAGAGAGAGAGAGGGUUACUUUGAUGAGUGAGCAGAUACCAGGUACUGUUUUGGGGAAACUGCUUUUCUCUGAGUCUAUAUUGGUCUGCACAAAUAAACUAAAAUGCUUUUUAAGUUGUUUUAUGAUCUAUAUAGAAGAGAUAUUGACAAACUUCUCCUGCUUAGAAAAUAAAAGGGACACUUGGAAUUAACAAAGGGGGUUGGUAGAUUUACCAUUGAGGUUGAUGAACUUAAUAUAUCAUCUGGUAAAACAAGCGUCAGGAAAUAUCCAUCAUUCAAAUGUUUUGGCUGACAGCAAAAUGCUCAAGGACUAAUCCCACAGCUGAAAUGUAGGGGAAAAUUUCCCCUACAUUUGGCUCCUUCUGGCUCCUACUUGGUCUACACUUUUGGAAGGACUGCUGAGAUUGUAUCCUUGGAGUCAGGGCGAGAGUGCCCCCUCCUUUUCCCCACUUGGAAACCAGAGUUUGUGGAAAGUGAAGAAGUGAUGUGCUGGAGCCAGAGGCUCAGUGCUGGGCUGGGGCUGGCUGGCCUGACCCAAGCCACCUGGUUACUCAGAGCCCAGCACUGGGUGGAAUCCCUGGGGUCUACAGGCAUUCACCCAUCCCCAGAAGCCCAGAUGAGUCUCUGAACAGUUGGCUGUGAGUGAGAUGACCUCAGAAAUGGAAGAGGUCAGUGCCUUAGCCAGACAGGCACUGACAUGAAUGUCAUAGGCAUGCUCCAGGGCCUUCUGAGAAAUGGAAAUACCAUCUGGAUGGAAUGACCUUUAUGCAACAAAAAGUUUAAUUAAAAGAAGUCUCCUCAACAGGCAUUGAAUAUUAGUGCUCGUCAAGAUUCAAAAGAGAUUUCCCUUAGAAUAAUUCCUCACCACAUAUAUUGAGGUUCUGGAGUGAUUCAUCCUACCCUCAUACAUAAAUGUUUGUGCUAACCAG